rnacentral:rRNA from 1 species
AAUGCUGCAUAAUGCGAUAUGUAAUGUGAGAUUGCAGAAUUCAGUGAAUCAUCGAAUCUUUGAACGCACAAUGCGCCCGCCAGUAUUCUGGCGGGCAUGCCUGUUCGAGCGUCAUUUCAACCCUCAAGCCCCUCCGGGUGCUUGGUGUUGGAGACCGGCGAACCCGGCCCCUCCCCGGGGCCCCGGGCGCCGCCUCCCAAAUCCAGUGGCGGUCUCGCCGCAGCCUUCCCUGCGUAGUAGCAUCUUAUUUCGCAUGGGAGAGCGGCGCGGCCACGCCGUUAAACACCCCACUUCUGAACGGUUGACCUCGGAUCAGGUAGGACUACCCGCUGAACUUAAGCAUAUCAAUAAGCGGAGGAA